rnacentral:rRNA from 1 species
CCUACGGGUGGCUGCAGUGGGGAAUAUUGCACAAUGGGGGAAACCCUGAUGCAGCAACGCCGCGUGAGUGAAGAAGUAUUUCGGUAUGUAAAGCUCUAUCAGCAGGGAAGAAGAAAGACGGUACCUGACUAAGAAGCCCCGGCUAACUACGUGCCAGCAGCCGCGGUAAUACGUAGGGGGCAAGCGUUAUCCGGAUUUACUGGGUGUAAAGGGGGCGCAGACGGCAGCGCAAGCCAGGAGUGAAAGCCCGGGGCCCAACCCCGGGACUGCUCUUGGAACUGCGCGGCUGGAGUGCAGGAGGGGCAGGCGGAAUGCCUGGUGUAGCGGUGAAAUGCGUAGAUAUCAGGAGGAACACCGGUGGCGAAGGCGGCCUGCUGGACUGCGACUGACGUUGAGGCCCGAAAGCGUGGGGAGCAAACAGGAUUAGAUACCCGGGUAGUC